UUUUUUUGGGUGGGUUAUAGAUGCAACUAGAUAAAACUAGCCCUCAUGUUUAGAUAUACUUUAGGGCUAGUUGAGCCCGAACUAGCUCAAACUAACUGUAACCCGUGGAUACAGUAGCAGAUAAUUUUUAAGAAUGAACUAAACUCCUUCCGGCCCAUAAUAUAAGAUGUUAAUUCAUCUAAUAUGUGAGUAUAUUGGAUGUUAUAAGAUACUCCCUCCAUUCCUAAAUAUUUGUCUUUUUAGAGAUUUCAAAUGGACUACCACAUACAGAUGUAUAUAGACAUAUUAUAAAAGAGUGUUGUACUACAUCAUUGUGCCAUUGCUGUUUAGCUUCUAAUAUUAACUUGGUGCUUUUAGGUACAUAUGUCAUUGGUAAAGAUCCGCGUUUCAACCCUUUCUGCGUAUGGGGCAAUGAGAUAUCGAUGAACCAGCAUCAAGUGAGGAAGCUGAUAAAGAUUGUUAGUAAAAUGCGUCCAAAGAUGGAAAUUAAACUAUUUGUUUACACUUUAUCCAAGACAACAGCGAACUGCAGGAUGGUAAGUAAGACUCUGCAGCCUUCUUUUUACUGCCCAUAAUGAGUUGUGUUAGAUGACAAUGUCUGAAAUCUUAUUCCUUUGCAGUGGUUGCCAAACCAGUUUACUCAAGAUUACCUCUCAAACUACAUGAUUGGUGGGCAUGCAAAGGUUAAAGUAUUUCUACCAGAACACGAUGAUUAUCUAGAUGUUUUCAUGAAGACCGUGAAGGAUGGAUGGUCGGCCAUCACAAGGGGUUGGACUAGAGUCUGUUGGGGAACGUAGUAAUUUCAAAAAAAUCCUACGCACACGCAAGAUCAUGGUGAUGCAUAGCAACGAGAGGGGAGAGUGUGUCCACGUACCCUCCUCGACCGUAAGCGGAAGCCUUAGCACAAUGCGGUUGAUGUAGUCGUACGUCUUCACGAUCCGACCGAUCAAGUACCGAAUGCACGGCACCUCUGAGUUCAGCACACGUUCAACUCGAUGAAAUCCCUCGAACUCUGAUCCAGCCGAGCUUUGAGGGAGAGUUCCGUCAGCACGACGGCGUGGUGACGAUGAUGAUGUUCUACCGACGCAGGGCUUCGCCUAAGCACCGCUACGAUAUUAUCGAGGUGGAUUAUGGUGGAGGGGGGCACCGCACACGGCUAAGAGAUCCAAGAGAUCAAUUGUUGUGUCUAUGGGGUGCCCCCUCCUCCGUAUAUAAAGGAGGGGAGGAGGGGGCCGGCCAGGAGGAGGAGGCGCGCCCAAGGGGGGAGUCCUACUCCCACCGGGAGUAGGACUCCUCCUUUUCCUAUUUGGAGUAGGAGAGGGAAGGAAGAGGAAGGAGGGAGGAAGGAAAGGGGGGCCGGCCCCCUUCCCAAUUCGGGUUGGGCUUGGGGAGGGCGCGCCCCCUCCCUAGCUCCUUUCCCCUCCCUUCCACUAAAGCCCAUUAAGGCCCAUAUACCUCCCGGGGGGUUCCGAUAACCUCCCGGUGCUCCGGUAUUAUCCCGAUCUCACCCGGAACCAUUCCGGUGUCCAAAUAUAGUCGUCCAAUAUAUCGAUCUUUACGUCUCGACCAUUUCGAGACUCCUCUUCAUGUCCGUGAUCACAUCCGGGACUCUGAACUACCUUCGGUACAUCAAAACACAUAAACUCAUAAUAUAACCGUCAUCGAACUUUAAGCGUGCGGACCCUACGGGUUCGAGAACUAUGUAGACAUGACCGAGACACGUCUCCGGUCAAUAACUAAUAGCGGAACAUGGAUGCUCAUAUUGGCUCCCACAUAUUAUACGAAGAUCUUUAUCGGUCAAACCACAUAACAACAUAGGUUGUUCCCUUUGUCAUCGGUAUGUUACUUGCCCGAGAUUCGAUCGUCGGUAUCUCAAUACCUAGUUCAAUCUCGUUACCGGCAAGUCUCUUUACUCAUUCCAUAAUACAUCAUCCCGCAACUAGCUCAUUAGUUGCAAUGCUUGCAAGGCUUUAAGUGAUGUGCAUUACCGAGUGGGCCCAGAGAUACCUCUCCGACAAUCGGAGUGACAAAUCCUAAUCUCGAAAUACGCCAACCCAACAAGUACCUUUGGAGACACUUGUAGAGCACCUUUAUAAUCACCCAGUUACGUUGUGACGUUUGGUAGCACACAAAGUGUUCCUCCGGUAAACGGGAGUUGCAUAAUCUCAUAGUCAUAGGAACAUGUAUAAGUCAUGAAGAAAGCAAUAGCAACAUACUAAACGAUCAAGUGCUAAGCUAACGGAAUGGGUCAAGUCAAUCACAUCAUUCUCCUAAUGAUGUGAUCCCAUUAAUCAAAUGACAACUAUUUGUCUAUGGCUAGGAAACAUAACCAUCUUUGAUUCAACGAGCUAGUCAAGUAGAGGCAUACUAGUGACACUAUGUUUGUCUAUGUAUUCACACAUGUAUCAUGUUUCCGGUUAAUACAAUUCUAGCAUGAAUAAUAAAAAUUUAUCAUGAUAUAAGGAAAUAAAUAAUAACUUUGUUAUUGCCUCUAGGGCAUAUUUCCUUCAGUCUCCCACUUGCACUAGAGUCAAUAAUCUAGAUUACACAGUAAUGAUUCUAACACCCAUGGAGUCUUGGUGUUGAUCAUGUUUUGCUCGUGGAAGAGGCUUAGUCAACGGGUCUGCAACAUUCAGAUCCGUAUGUAUUUUGCAAAUCUCUGUGUCUCCCACUUGGACUUGGUCCCGAAUGGAAUUGAAGCGUCUCUUGAUGUGUUUGGUCCUCUUGUGAAAUCUGGAUUCCUUUGCCAAGGCAAUUGCACCAGCAUUGUCACAAAAGAUUUUCGUUGGACCCGAUGCACUAGGUAUGACAGCUAGUUCGGAUAUGAACUCCUUCAUCCAGACUCCUUCAUUUGCUGCUUCCGAAGCAGCUAUGUACUCCACUUCACAUGUAGAUCCCGCUACGACGCUUUGUUUAGAACUGCACCAACUGACAGCUCCACCGUUCAAUAUAAACAUGUAUCCGGUUUGCGAUUUAGAAUCGUCCGGAUCAGUGUCAAAGCUUGCAUCGACGUAACCAUUUACGAAGAGCUCUUUGUCACCUCCAUAAACGAGAAACAUAUCCUUAGUCCUUUUCAGGUAUUUCAGGAUGUUCUUGACCGCUGUCCAGUGAUCCACUCCUGGAUUACUUUGGUACCUCUCUGCUAAACUAAUAGCAAGGCACACAUCAGGUCUGGUACACAGCAUUGCAUACAUGAUAGAGCCUAUGGCUGAAGCAUAGGGAACAUCUUUCAUUUUCUCUCUAUCUUCUACAGUGGUCGGGCAUUGAGUCUUACUCAACUUCAGACCUUGUAACACAGGCAAGAACCCUUUCUUUGCUUGAUACAUUUUGAACUUCUUCAAAACUUUGUCAAGGUAUGUGCUUUGUGAAAGUCCAAUUAAGCGUUUCGAACUAUCUCUAUAGAUCUUGAUGCCCAAUAUAUAAGCAGCUUCACCGAGGUCCUUCAUUGAAAAACUCUUAUUCAAAUAUCCAUUUAUGCAAUCCAGAAAUUCUAUAUCAUUUCCAAUCAACAAUAUGUCAUCCACAUAUAAUAUCAGAAAUGCUACAGAGCUCCCACUCACUUUCUUGUAAAUACAGGCUUCUCCAAAAGUCUGUAUAAAACCAUAUGCUUUGAUCACACUAUCAAAACAUUUAUUCCAACUCCGAGAGGCUUGCACCAGUCCAUAAAUGGAUUGCUGGAGCUUGCACACUUUGCUAGCUCCCUUUGGAUCGACAAAACCUUCUGGUUGCAUCAUAUACAACUCUUCUUCCAGAAAUCCAUUCAGGAAUGCAGUUUUGACAUCCAUUUGCCAAAUUUCAUAAUCAUAAAAUGCGGCAAUUGCUAACAUGAUUCGGACAGACUUAAGCAUCGGUACGGGUGAGAAGGUCUCAUCGUAGUCAAUCCCUUGAACUUGUCGAAAACCUUUUGCAACAAGUCGAGCUUUAUAGACAGUAACAUUACCAUCAGCGUCAGUCUUCUUCUUGAAGAUCCAUUUAUUCUCGAUGGCUUGCCGAUCAUCGGGCAAGUCAACCAAAGUCCACACUUUGUUCUCAUACAUGGAUCCCAUCUCAGAUUUCAUGGCCUCAAGCCAUUUUGCGGAAUCUGGGAUCACCAUCGCUUCUUCAUAGUUCGUAGGUUCGUCAUGGUCUAGCAACAUAACCUCCAGAACAGGAUUUCCGUACCACUCCGGUGCGGAUCUUACUCUGGUUGACCUACGAGGUUCAGUAACAACUUGAUCUGAAGUUUCAUGAUCAUCAUCAUUAAGUUCCUCACUAAUUGGUGUAGACGUCACAGGAACCGGUUUCUGUGAUGAACUACCUUCCAAUAAGGGAGCAGGUACUGUUACCUCAUCAAGUUCUACUUUCCUCCCACUCACUUCUUUCGAGAGAAACUCCUUCUCUAGAAAGGAUCCAUUCUUGGCAACGAAUGUCUUGCCUUCGGAUCUGUGAUAGAAGGUGUACCCAACAGUUUCCUUUGGGUAUCCUAUGAAGACACAUUUCUCCGAUUUGGGUUCGAGCUUAUCAGGUUGAAGCUUUUUCACAUAAGCAUCGCAGCCCCAAACUUUAAGAAACGACAACUUUGGUUUCUUGCCAAACCAUAGUUCAUAAGGCGUCGUCUCAACGGAUUUUGAUGGUGCCCUAUUUAACGUGAAUGCGGCCGUCUCUAAAGCAUAACCCCAAAACGAUAGCGGUAAAUCAGUAAGAGACAUCAUAGAUCGCACCAUAUCUAGUAAAGUACGCUUACGACGUUCGGACACACCAUUACGCUGUGGUGUUCCAGGUGGCGUGAGUUGUGAAACUAUUCCGCAUUGUUUCAAAUGUAGACCAAACUCGUAACUCAAAUAUUCUCCUCCAUGAUCAGAUCGUAGAAACUUUAUUUUCUUGUUAUGAUGAUUUUCAACUUCACUCUGAAAUUCUUUGAACUUUUCAAAUGUUUCAGACUUAUGUUUCAUUAAGUAGAUAUACCCAUAUCUGCUUAAAUCAUUUGUGAAGGUGAGAAAAUAACGAUACCCGCCGCGAACCUCAACAUUCAUUGGACCACAUACAUCAGUAUGUAUGAUCUCCAACAAAUCAGUUGCUCGCUCCAUAGUUCCGGAGAACGGCGUUUUAGUCAUCUUGCCCAUGAGGCAUGGUUCGCAAGUACCAAGUGAUUCAUAAUCAAGUGAUUCCAAAAGUCCAUCAUUAUGGAGUUUCUUCAUGCGCUUUACACCAAUAUGACCCAAACGGCAGUGCCAAAAUAAGUUGCACUAUCAUUAUCAACUCUGCAUCUUUUGGCUUCAACAUUAUGAAUAUGUGUAUCACUACUAUCGAGAUUCAUCAAAAAUAGACCACUCUUCAAGGGUGCAUGACCAUAAAAGAUAUUACUCAUAUAAAUAGAACAACCAUUAUUCUCAGAUUUAAAUAAAUAACCGUCUCGCAUCAAACAAGAUCCAGAUAUAAUGUUCAUGCUCAACGCUGGCACAAAAUAACAAUUAUUUAGGUCUAAAACUAAUCCCGAAGGUAGAUGUAGAGGUAGCGUGCCGACGGCGAUCACAUCGACUUUGGAACCAUUUCCCACGCGCAUCGUCACCUCGUCCUUAGCCAGUGUUCGCUUAAUCCGUAGUCCCUGUUUCGAGUUGUAAAUAUUAGCAACAGAACCAGUAUCAAAUACACAGGUGCUACUACGAGCUCUGGUAAGGUACACAUCAAUAACAUGUAUAUCACAUAUACCUUUGUUCACCUUGCCAUCCUUCUUAUCCGCCAAAUACUUGGGGCAGUUCCGCUUCCAGUGACUAGUCUGCUUGCAGUAGAAGCACUCAGUCUCAGGCUUAGGUCCAGACUUGGGUUUCUUCUCUUGAGCAGCAACUUGUUUGCUGUUCUUCUUGAAGUUCCCCUUCUUCUUCCCUUUGCCCUUUUUCUUGAAACUGGUGGUCUUGUUGACCAUCAACACUUGAUGCUCCUUCUUGAUUUCUACCUCCGCAGCCUUUAGCAUUGCGAAGAGCUCGGGAAUCGUCUUAUCCAUCCCUUGCAUGUUAUAGUUCAUCACGAAGCUCUUGUAGCUUGGUGGCAGUGAUUGAAGAAUUCUGUCAAUGACGCUAUCAUCCGGAAGAUUAACUCCCAGUUGAAUCAAGUGAUUGUUAUACCCAGACAUUCUGAGUAUAUGCUCACUGACAGAACUAUUCUCCUCCAUCUUGCAGCUGUAGAACUUAUUGGAGACUUCAUAUCUCUCAAUCCGGGUAUUUGCUUGAAAUAUUAACUUCAACUCCUGGAACAUCUCAUAUGCUCCAUGACGUUCAAAAUGUCGUUGAAGUCCCGGUUCUAAGCCGUAAAGCAUGGCACACUGAACUAUCGAGUAGUCAUCAGCUUUGCUCUGCCAGACGUUCAUAACAUCUGGUGUUGCUCCUGCAGCAGGUUUGGCACCUAGCGGUGCUUUCAGGACGUAAUUCUUCUGUGCAGCAAUGAGGAUAAUCCUCAAGUUACGGACCCAAUCCGUGUAAUUGCUACCAUCAUCUUUCAACUUUGCUUUCUCAAGGAACGCAUUAAAAUUCAACGGAACAACAGCACGAGCCAUCUAUCUACAACAAACAUAGACAUGCAAAAUACUAUCAGGUACUAAAUUCAUGAUAAAUUUAAGUUCAAUUAAUCAUAUUACUAAAGAACUCUCACUUAGAUAGACAUCCCUCUAAUCAUCUAAGUGAUCACGUGAUCCAAAUCAACUAAACCAUAACCGAUCAUCACGUGAAAUGGAGUAGUUUUCAAUGGUGAACAUCACUAUGUUGAUCAUAUCUACUAUAUGAUUCACACUCGACCUUUCGGUCUCAGUGUUCCGAGGCCAUAUCUCCAUAUGCUAGGCUCGUCAAGUUUAACCUGAGUAUUCUGCGUGUGCAAAACUGGCUUGCACCCGUUGUAGAUGGACGUAGAGCUUAUCACACCCGAUCAUCACGUGGUGUCUGGGCACGACGAACUUUGGCAACGGUGCAUACUCAGGGAGAACACUUUUAUCUUGAAAUUUAGUGAGAGAUCAUCUUAUAAUGCUACCGUCAAUCAAAGCAAAAUAAGAUGCAUAAAAGAUAAACAUCACAUGAAAUCAAUAUAGGUGAUAUGAUAUGGCCAUCAUCAUCUUGUGCUUGUGAUCUCCAUCUCCGAAGCACCGUCAUGAUCACCAUCGUCACCGGCGCGACACCUUGAUCUCCAUCGUAGCAUCGUUGUCGUCUCGCCAACUAUUGCUUCUACGACUAUCGCUACCGCUUAGUGAUAAAGUAAAGCAAUUACAGGGCGAUUGCAUUGCAUACAAUAAAGCGACAACCAUAUGGCUCCUGCCAGUUGCCGAUUACUCGGUUACAAAACAUGAUCAUCUCAUACAAUAAAAUAUAGCAUCAUGUCUUGACCAUAUCACAUCACAACAUUCCCUGCAAAAACAAGUUAGACGUCCUCUACUUUGUUGUUGCAAGUUUUACGUGGCUGCUACGGGCUGAGCAAGAACCGUUCUUACCUACGUAUCAAAACCACAACGAUAGUUCGUCAAGUUAGUGUUGUUUUAACCUUCUCAAGGACCGGGCGUAGCCACACUCGGUUCAACUAAAGUUGGAGAAACUGACACCCGCCAGCCACAUGUGUGCAAAGCACGUCGGUAGAACCAGUCUCGCGUAAGCGUACGCGUAAUGUCGGUCCGGGCCGCUUCAUCCAACAAUACCGCCGAACCAAAGUGUGACAUGCUGGUAAGCAGUAUGACUUGUAUCGCCCACAACUCACUUGUGUUCUACUCCUGCAUAUAACAUCAACGCAUAAAACCUGGCUCGGAUGCCACUGUUGGGGAACGUAGUAAUUUAAAAAAAAUCCUACGCACACUCAAGAUCAUGGUGAUGCAUAGCAACGAGAGGGGAGAGUGUUUCCACGUACCCUCGUAGAUCGUAAGCGGAAGCGUUAGCACAAUGCGGUUGAUGUAGUCGUACGUCUUCACGAUCCGACCGAUCAAGUACCGAACGCACGGCACCUCCGAGUUCAGCACACGUUCAACUCGAUGACGUCCCUCGAACUCUGAUCCAGCCUAGCUUUGAGGGAGAGUUCCGUUAGCACGACGGCGUGGUACGAUGAUGAUGUUCUACCGACGCAGGGCUUCGCCUAAGCACCGCUACGAUAUUAUCGAGGUGGAUUAUGGUGGAGGGGGGCACCGCACACGGCUAAGAGAUCCAAGAGAUCAAUUGUUGUGUCUAUGGGGUGCCUCCCUCCUCCGUAUAUAAAGGAGGGGAGGAGGGGGCCGGCCAGGAGGAGGAGGCGCGCCCAAGGGGGGGAGUCCUACUCCCACCGGGAGUAGGACUCCUCCUUUUCCUAUUUGGAGUAGGAGAGGGAAGGAAGAGGAAGGAGGGAGGAAGGAAAGGGGUGUCGGCCCCCUUCCCAAUUCGGAUUGGGCUUGGGGGGGCGCCCCCUCCCUUGCUCCUUUACCCUCCUUUCCACUAAAGCCCAUUAAGGCCCAUAUACCUCCCGGGGGGUUCCGAUAACCUCCUGGUGCUCCGGUAUUAUCCCGAUCUCACCCGGAACCAUUCUCGUGUCCAAAUAUAGUCGUCCAAUAUAUCGAUCUUUACGUCUCGACCAUUUCGAGACUCCUCGUCAUGUCCGUGAUCACAUCCGGGACUCCGAACUACCUUCGGUACAUCAAAACACAUAAACUCAUAACCAUCAUUGAACAUUAAGCGUGCGGACCCUACGGGUUCGAGAACUAUGUAGACAUGACCGAGACACGUCUCCGAUCAAUAACCAAUAGCGAAACCUGGAUGCUCAUAUUGGCUCCCACAUAUUCUACGAAGAUCUUUAUCGGUUAAACCGCAUAACAACAUACGUUGUUCCCUUUGUCAUCGGUAUGUUACUUGCCCGAGAUUCUCGGUAUCUCAAUACCUAGUUCAAUCUCGUUACUGGCAAGUCUCUUUACUCGUUCCGUAAUACAUCAUCCCGCAACUAACUCAUUAGUUGCAAUGCUUGCAAGGCUUUAAGUGAUGUGCAUUACCGAGUGGGCCCAGAGAUACCUCUUCGACAAUCGGAGUGACAAAUCCUAAUCUCGAAAUACGCCAACCCAACAAGUACCUUUGGAGACACCUGUAGAGCACCUUUAUAAUCACCCAGUUACGUUGUGACGUUUAGUAGCACACAAAGUGUUACUCCGGUAAACGGGAGUUGCAUAAUCUCAUAGUCAUAGGAACAUGUAUAAGUCAUGAAGAAAGCAAUAGCAACAUACUAAACGAUCAAGUGCUAAGCUAACGGAAUGGGUCAAGUCAAUCACAUCAUUCUCCUAAUGAUGUGAUCCCGUUAAUCAAAUGACAACUCUUUGUCUAUGGCUAGGAAACAUAACCAUCUUUGAUUCAAUGAGCUAGUCAAGUAGAGGCAUACUAGUGACACUCUAUUUGUCUAUGUAUUCACACAUGUAUCAUGUUUUCGGUUAAUACAAUUCUAGCAUGAAUAAUAAACAUUUACCAUGAUAUAAGGAAAUAAAUAAUAACUUUAUUAUUGCCUCUAGGGCAUAUUUCCUUCAGAGUCGUGCGUGCCUUCUGCAUGGAGGAGGGCACAAUAUGGGCAUUCCGCUUCACCUUGUUCAGCAACCAGAAUAUAUUUUGCCUCUUUCUUUACCGUCUUUAAUAGUACAAGUAUACAACUGUGGUUCAUCAUUCUUUAUUUGGUUCUUAUGUAAUUCUUGAACAUAUGUACCUAUGAAUCGAAUAAUGCAUUGGUUGUUUGAACCUGAUGGAUACGAAUAAAGGUAUAGCAUACAUUCAAAUUCAAAUCCAAAUCCGGUACAAUUUGGAAAAGCAGCAAUUAAAUUACGGUGAAAUUACGCUCUCCAGGUUGUUACGGCACACACGGUUGGUAAAACACAAACGUUUGCGAUAUGCACCAUAAUCCGAGACAGUUCACAGAAAGGAAACGUGUGCAAGCAUGCACGCAGUUGUUGUUUGCAAAGCGUGUGCGAUGUCAGACAAUAUCACAAACGGCGCGGGCAAACUAAACGUUUGUGUUAGUUGCCUUAUCGUACACGAUUCGCAACCAUGAACUGUUUCUGAUGAAGUAUGCAUCGUAAAUGUUGCACCACAGAAUAGCGUGUGCGAUAGUUGUCGUGUACGAUGAUGUUACGAUGGUCCGACGUUUCGUAAUCCUGUCUAACACUCGUACGACGAUUAGCUAAUCUUCUUAACGGUGAACCGUUUGUGAUGGGCCGCGCAUCAUACACGUUCUAUAAUAGUGAACCGUUUGUGAUGGGCCGCGCAUCGUAAACGUAGCACCACAGAAUACCGACUGCGAUGGCAAUGCGAGCAGAAACGAGUAGGAGUACUGUAGGCGCCCUAUCCUCGAUGGUUUCUGGGUCGUGUGGGAAGGACCCCCCCUAUCGCCCACACUCACUUGGCGACGGUUCCAAAUGCCGUCGCGGAAAGGGAUUUUAAACCGUUUGUUUAGGACCGACGCGCACCAGUGUCCCCCUGCCUUAGCCCCCUUCCAAGAAUGAUUUGCUCCAUGCAUGACCCAUUAACCUUGAAACGGAAAGACACCGUACAUAUACACUUGCUAAUCAACCCCAUGAAGGUCUGUGCAAACCCCAGUCGUGACAUAACCUUCUCUAGGAAGCCCCAUUUUAUUCAGUCAUAUGCCUUACUCAUGUCAAGCUUAAAGGCUGCAAAAUUUGUACCCGGUCGCUUUCUCUUUAGAAAAUGUGUCAUCUCAUAGGCUAAGAUAGUGUUAUCACAGAUCAACCUUCCUGGUACAAAGGCACUUUGAUUCGGCGAGAUAACUUCCCCCAAGAUGCACUUUAAUCUGUUGGCUAGAACCUUGGACACAAGCUUGUACACGACAUUGCAGAGGCUAAUAGGGCGAAGAUCCUUCAUCAUCUUGGGGUUCUGAACCUUGGGGAUAAGCACUACAAGAGUGUCGUUCCAUCCCUCCGGUAUACUACCGCCUCGCAAUGCAACACCUCACGUACCACAUCAUCACCAACAAGAUGCCAGUAGUGCUUGUAAAAGAUGGCCGGGAGCCCGUCCAUACCAGGAGCUUUUAGGUCCCCAACGCUAUCCAACGCGUCCUUUACCUCACCGGGUGUGAACUCAGCUGUGAGGAACUCGUUCAUUUGUGUUGUGACCUUUGGAGAUAUAUGGUCAAGGAUAGCACUCGCAUCAGCACCUGCCACGGGGGUAAAUAUGGAGGUAAAAUGAUUAGUAAUAAGGUUCUUCAAACCUUCCUCCCCCUCUACCAACACACCAUCCUCCCUCCUCAACUUCUGUAUGGUGUUCUUUUUCUUUCUUUCUGAAGCAAAUGCCUGGAAAAACCGUGUGUUUCUGUCGCCCUUAAUCAACCAGUUUACAUGGCCCCUCUGCCGCCAAACAAGAUCCUCUUGCUCCUCUAAUCUUUCAAACUUGAAACUGAUUGUUUGUUCCUUUCGAACUUGGCUAUCAGACAGCGACAGCGGCUCCUUUCUAACUAUUUCUAAUUCCUGUUUCAGUUUUUUAUCCUUUUCCUCAGAUCGCCAAACACAUCCCUACUCCACGUAUUGAGGGCUCUAACCACCGCCUCCAGUCUCUGCCGAACAGUUGGGUCUCCUGCACCCUCCCACGCCUCCUUCACGACCCCGUCACACCCCCUCUUCUAGCAACCAUUUCGCUUCAAAACGCAUGGGCCGCACACCACUCGUGCUCCUCUGGAUACGUGGGCAACCAUCCCGCGGUAAUAUAACAGGGCGGUGGUCAGAGUGACAUGGAUCACCAUUGACAACUUUGUACGCUGGAAACCGGUCACGCCAUUCCGGUGAAGCCACCACACGGUUGAGUCGCUCACGAAUAUAACCAUCAACACAAUAAUUUUUAUUUCUCCAAGUGAAAACAUCUUCCUAGAAACCGAGGUCGUACAAGUUACAAUAGUCUAGUGCAUAUCGGAAAUUUUGCAUAAAUCUAUGGGCUCAGGGAGCUCCUCCUUGUUUCUCAUGGCUGAACAAUAUCUCAUUAAAAUCACCAAAACAGACCCACGGAAGCUGGAUUUGGUGAUGUAAAGUGCGAAGAAAAGCCGCCAUGUCUCCACCUUCUUAUCAGUAUGUGACUCACCAUAGAUGCCUGUUAGACGCCAUUUGUAGCCAUCUUCUUCCUCCACAAUUGCAUCAAUGUGCAUCCGGCCCAUCCAUCUCACAGUAACAUUUAUUCCACGCCUCCAAAAAAGCGCCACGCCACCACUCUUCCCUUUAUUAUCAUGCACCAUCAUGUGCGGCAAACCAAGCAUAUCUCUAAAUUUAUUCAUCCUGCCCUUGUCAAGUUUAGUCUCAGACAAGAAGAGGAUAUCGGGCUCCUUCUUCUUCUGGAGCUCCAAAUUGGGAUGGUCUCGAACGUAUAGUCCUCAAUGCGUUUACUAGCGUCAAAAUCUUCAAAAAUAAGGUCAUUCCCAAACUCCCAAGGGCCACCAUCCAAAGCCAUCCUUUUACCCGAUUCCUGCCCAAACGUGAACAAAAAUACAUUCUCUUCGACCUCCUUGCAGUCCACCUCCCUGAUCGGGCACCAUAUCUUACCCAAGGUCUCCGCCAUUGCAUCAACGAACACAGGUUUCUCUGAGAGUAAUUUGGUGAGGGCUUGCGGUUCCACGACCCCCGCCUUUCCAGACCCGGCCCAUCCGAUCUUUAUGCCCUUCUUCUCCUUAUCCGACAACUUCAAACUCUGCAGCAGACCUUCCACCCUCUCCAUCUCCACCACCACACAGCAGGGAACACGAAACGCAGAACACAAACCAGGGUUGGAGGUGGUGUACGAUCAUGAGCCCUAGCUCUCGCGAAAGGUCUAUGGUGGGUGGUUUUGACAACGGAAAGGGGAUCAGCCGUCCGAGACAACGAAAUCCCAGAUUGAUGGGCGGCGGUGGACUGAGGACGCGCGCACGGGAGAUGGUGGCAGCGGCCGAGGGAACCCUAGAUCGCCUCGUGCGUCGCCAGACAAAAAAAAUGUCACCCUAGAUAGGGACGGACCUACCGGUGUGAUCUAUCUUAAUCUUAACAUCUGUGUAAUUUUACCAUCCCUUUUAGGGGACACCAAAACCUUUUUAACACUCAAGUAAAUCACUACUCUCUGUUCCAAAAUACUGUAAUUCUACCAUCCUUUUUGAGGGGUCACCGAAACCAUUUUUACACUCAAGUCACUACUCUCUCUGUUCCAAAAUAUUGUAAUUCUACCAUCCCUUUUCAGGGGUCACCAAACCUUUUUAGUUUUUAAUACUCAAGUAAAUCACUACUCCUUUUCCGUUCCAAAAUACUUGACAUUUUAGAUUUGUCCUAAGUCAAACAUUUUAAGUUUCACCAAGUUUAUUGAAAAAUAUAUCAACACCUACAGCACCAAAUCACCAAAUUAGUUUCAUUAGACUAAGCAAAAAAAUAUUUCAUACCAUAUAUAACCAAAGAAAAAAAACACGCUACAGAAAAUAGCGCCGCCCCUAAAAAUCAAUGUAUAGUGUGCAAGUAUUAGCAAUGCUAUUAGCGAGGCACUGUACAUUGAUUUAUUUAGCCAGAUAAUUCUCGACACACUAUAGCAUGUUAUUAGCAAUGCUAUUUUUUCAGUGUAUAUAACUGAUGCUGGAAAUAUUGAUAUAUGUUUAUAUAUAAAUGAUCAAACUUCAAAAGUUUAACUUCCAAGUACUCCUUAACAUCUUGUCAUUAAGCAUCAAAAAUUACUAACUGCCUGCGUGCAACAGCAGCAUAGAAGUCUAAGAAUACAUUAUGACAACAGGAAACAGAUAGCACAGCUCAAAGGACCAAUUAAACGGACAGCUAAUUGCAGAAUGUGCACGCUGAGACGUGGACAACUGAACCAUUGGCAAUAUUGCACAUUAAAAGUUCAGCAUCACAGAAUAUUAUGGUUACUUGAAGGAGAAUCGAUAAAAAUAUGCCAUAACAAUAGUUGGAUGUAUACUACCGCACAUCGUAUCUUCUACGGUAUUAUGCUGGCAACGCUUCCCAGGAAAAACAGUUCAUUUGCGACUCAGUGGCACCUCAUUGGUAGUUCACGUUGCCUCAUCCUUAGCCUUAC
rnacentral:lncRNA from 1 species